UGCCAGCCGCCGCGGUAAUACGGAGGGUGCAAGCGUUGUUCGGAGUUACUGGGCGUAAAGCGCGUGCAGGUGGUUAAGUAAGUUGGUUAUGAAAGCUCCUGGCUAAACUGGGAGAGGUUGACCAAAACUGCUUAACUAGAGUGGAUGAGAGGUAAAUGGAAUUCCGCGUGUAGUGGUGAAAUGCGUAGAGAUGCGGAAGAACACCAGUGGCGAAGGCGAUUUACUGGACAUCCAACUGACACUCAGACGCGAAAGCAUGGGUAGCGAACGGGAUUAGAUA
rnacentral:rRNA from 1 species